rnacentral:tRNA from 1 species
GCGCGGGUGGAGAAAUGGCAGACUCGCUACCUUGAGGUGGUAGUGCCCGCAAGGGCGUGGAGGUUCGAAUCCUCUCCCGCGCA